UGCUGCAGUAGCAAGAAAGCUUACUGGUACUGCAGUCAAAAGCUAGAGAUCUAGGAAAUGGUUAAAAGAGGCUUGGAAAGCAGAGGCAGACAAAUCCAAAUUUUUUCAUAGCCUUUAAUGCAGGCACUCAUUCAAACAGACAAGGCAUUGUAGCACCAUUCCUUACAAGAAACAAGAUCAAGAGGCUGCAGUGGCCACAGAACACCCUCACAAAUACCAAGGAGUUCCCUCAGCAUCUCUUUACUCUUCCACAUCUCCAAAAGAAGAUGCAAAUAUCAGCAGAUGCAAAUACAUAUGGAGCCAUGGGCCAGGAUAAUUUACAACAGCUGGAAAUGUGAGCCACCUCCUUAAUGCAGAAGAGUCAUGAGUUCUUUCCUGUUCUAUUGACUCAGAUCUCCCCAACCUACUCUGAGAACUCUUUAGGCAUUGGGUUAUCUACCACAAAAAAGCUAAGUGGAAAUCCCCAGCCAGGAAAAAGAACAAAAAAACAACAAUAUAAAAAUCUCUUUCUUCUGCACAUGUAUGAAAGAAGUGUGAGGACACAGUCUAUCCUUCAUUGAUCAGGGAAAUGAAGGAGCCAAUAGCCCAGAAAGACAUGCAGAGUUGAAAGCGUAGACCACCUCACUCUGCAGACCAGAUUUUGCAUUGGAAAAGACUUCUUUUGUUUCUGGCUUUCACUUUGCUCCUUGCCAUCCACCUUCCUGUCAACCUAUGGGUUACAUCAUUCAUUCAAAGCAACUCAAGUCCAGGUUGUCUUGGGACUGCUUGGUCCCAACAGCCACUGACCCGGUGACUUUACUUCCAGAAGCUGCCCACUGUUUCCCAGAAGUGACGUUCCUUGACUGGAGCCAAUGACCUGGAUCUGUCCCCUCUCCUGGAGCCAGUCCCAGCAGCAGAGAUGUGCCAGGAGCAUCCCUGCCAGCAUGACCAGUCUGCUUGUCCUGUGCACAAUGAGGAAAGAGCUCUCUUCUAGCACGUGUGGUCCUGAGCUACUGAGCCACAAGGACAGACCAACAUCUGAAUCAACAGAGGCAAAGCCAUACAGAAGAAAAGCUAAUGUGCUCCUACCUUUUCUCAGCUGUAUUAUUUACUUGACUCCAAUGAUUCCAUCAUAUUGAAAAAUCAAUGGCGUUUUAGAAGUGUAAAACCAAGGAAAAGCUGUAUGGAUUCUGACUAUUUUGAACUACUUCUCUGAAAGGGUGGUCAGGCACUGGAAUGGGCUGCCCAGAGAGGUGGUGGAGUCACCGAGCCUGGUGGUGUUCAAAGAGCGUUUGGAUGUUGUGUUGAGGGACAUGGUUUAGUGAGAACCAUUGGUGAAGGGCGAGUGGUUGGACUGGAUGAUCCUGUGGGGCUUUUCCAACCUCAGCGAUUCUGUGAUUCUAUGAAGCUUUACAGAUGCUUGCUGACCUAACAUGGGAGGAGUAUCAUUAUUUUAUUGACGAAACUCUUUUUUUUUUGUUGUUGUUUUAAUAUGGAAAAUCUCAGUGGCACUUCACUCCAUUUGUCUUUUUUUUUUUUUUUUUCCUUUUUAGUCAUAUGAUAAUGUACACUUAUAACCAGUGAAUCAUCCCCCCAAAAAGUCAUAAAGAGAAAAAUAGCUCAUAUGUAUGCCUCAGCGGCCAAUGAAUCAUUGACGACAGGUAUAAUGGGAAUAAUUACAUACUGUUGAGAAACUUUACUCAAAGCCCAGCUCAGAAGGCUAGUUUCAAAACUUCUGAGUUAUGCAGUUGGAUCCAAGGUUGAGAGUGCCAGGUUAGGAAACAGCCAGGAGAAUUUCAGAUUUGUGUUACUGCAAGGAAAUAUCCUCUCCAAGAGUCUGUUAUGUGUUGACAAAUUGUUUAUACUUAAUGAAGCAAUAAUAAUGAAUAGUCUAAAUAGGC
rnacentral:lncRNA from 1 species